ensembl:lncRNA
AUGAUCACGAGUGCAUUUGAAAAAAACAAGGAACUCAGAGCCUAAAUAAUGUGUCUUAGGUGAGUUCUCUCAGAAGAUGACCCGGAAAGUGAUUCCUAAAAAGGACCAAGAAGUAUAACUUGUGGAACUCAGAAGAGAAGAAAGUAUUAUGUCAUGAAGUGAAUAAGUGAAGAGAAAUAGACCUAAGAGUAUCCUUUAGUAAGUCUGAGGCGAAAAGAACAAGUUCUCCAUCUUUGGAAUUAAGGAGCGAGGAGUUAUUCCCAGAAGGCCAAGAGAAUGAGAAGAAGCGUUAUUGGUCUAUUCAAGAUUUUUCACCCUUCCUUGAGCCAAGUUUGAGAAAUUUUACUGUCCUAGAAAUUCAUCAAAUGUGUGGAGACUUUCGAACUUAUUAACAAAUAAUGAUCAUGUCAUCUGGCCAUGAAGCAGUUUUUAAGUAUUCUUCUGGAUCUUAGCUAGCAUUGUACAUUGAACUACUCUACAGAUAAAUCUCUGAUUUAUUUUCAUAACAAAAAGCAGCUCGCAUUCAACAGAGAAGCCACGAAAAGCACACAGAAAAUCCCAAUGGAAAAAA